AAAGAGAGCCGUAACACAGGUGCUGCAUGGCUGUCGUCAGCUCGUGUCGUGAGAUGUUGGGUUAAGUCCCGCAACGAGCGCAACCCUUGUCAUUAGUUGCUACGAAAGAGCACUCUAAUGAGACUGCCGGUGACAAACCGGAGGAAGGUGGGGAUGACGUCAAGUCCUCAUGGCCCUUAUGGGUAGGGCUUCACACGUCAUACAAUGGUACAUACAGAGGGCCGCCAACCCGCGAGGGGGAGCUAAUCCCAGAAAGUGUAUCGUAGUCCGGAUUGUAGUCUGCAACUCGACUACAUGAAGUUGGAAUCGCUAGUAAUCGCGGAUCAGCAUGUCGCGGUGAAUACGUUCCCGGGUCUUGUACACACCGCCCGUCACACCAUGGGAGCGGGUUUUACCAGAAGUAGGUAGCUUAACCGCUAGGAGGGCGCUUACCACGGUAGUAUUCGU
rnacentral:rRNA from 1 species